rnacentral:rRNA from 1 species
GGGUUGUGAGGUUAAGCGACUAAGCGUACACGGUGGAUGCCCUGGCAGUCAGAGGCGAUGAAGGACGUGCUAAUCUGCGAUAAGCGUCGGUAAGGUGAUAUGAACCGUUAUAACCGGCGAUUUCCGAAUGGGGAAACCCAGUGUGAUUCGUCACACUAUCAUUAACUGAAUCCAUAGGUUAAUGAGGCGAACCGGGGGAACUGAAACAUCUAAGUACCCCGAGGAAAAGAAAUCAACCGAGAUUCCCCCAGUAGCGGCGAGCGAACGGGGAGCAGCCCAGAGCCUGAAUCAGUGUGUGUGUUAGUGGAAGCGUCUGGAAAGGCGCGCGAUACAGGGUGACAGCCCCGUACACAAAAAUGCACAUGCUGUGAGCUCGAUGAGUAGGGCGGGACACGUGGUAUCCUGUCUGAAUAUGGGGGGACCAUCCUCCAAGGCUAAAUACUCCUGACUGACCGAUAGUGAACCAGUACCGUGAGGGAAAGGCGAAAAGAACCCCGGCGAGGGGAGUGAAAAAGAACCUGAAACCGUGUACGUACAAGCAGUGGGAGCACGCUUAGGCGUGUGACUGCGUACCUUUUGUAUAAUGGGUCAGCGACUUAUAUUCUGUAGCAAGGUUAACCGAAUAGGGGAGCCGAAGGGAAACCGAGUCUUAACUGGGCGUUAAGUUGCAGGGUAUAGACCCGAAACCCGGUGAUCUAGCCAUGGGCAGGUUGAAGGUUGGGUAACACUAACUGGAGGACCGAACCGACUAAUGUUGAAAAAUUAGCGGAUGACUUGUGGCUGGGGGUGAAAGGCCAAUCAAACCGGGAGAUAGCUGGUUCUCCCCGAAAGCUAUUUAGGUAGCGCCUCGUGAAUUCAUCUCCGGGGGUAGAGCACUGUUUCGGCAAGGGGGUCAUCCCGACUUACCAACCCGAUGCAAACUGCGAAUACCGGAGAAUGUUAUCACGGGAGACACACGGCGGGUGCUAACGUCCGUCGUGAAGAGGGAAACAACCCAGACCGCCAGCUAAGGUCCCAAAGUCAUGGUUAAGUGGGAAACGAUGUGGGAAGGCCCAGACAGCCAGGAUGUUGGCUUAGAAGCAGCCAUCAUUUAAAGAAAGCGUAAUAGCUCACUGGUCGAGUCGGCCUGCGCGGAAGAUGUAACGGGGCUAAACCAUGCACCGAAGCUGCGGCAGCGACGCUUAUGCGUUGUUGGGUAGGGGAGCGUUCUGUAAGCCUGCGAAGGUGUGCUGUGAGGCAUGCUGGAGGUAUCAGAAGUGCGAAUGCUGACAUAAGUAACGAUAAAGCGGGUGAAAAGCCCGCUCGCCGGAAGACCAAGGGUUCCUGUCCAACGUUAAUCGGGGCAGGGUGAGUCGACCCCUAAGGCGAGGCCGAAAGGCGUAGUCGAUGGGAAACAGGUUAAUAUUCCUGUACUUGGUGUUACUGCGAAGGGGGGACGGAGAAGGCUAUGUUGGCCGGGCGACGGUUGUCCCGGUUUAAGCGUGUAGGCUGGUUUUCCAGGCAAAUCCGGAAAAUCAAGGCUGAGGCGUGAUGACGAGGCACUACGGUGCUGAAGCAACAAAUGCCCUGCUUCCAGGAAAAGCCUCUAAGCAUCAGGUAACAUCAAAUCGUACCCCAAACCGACACAGGUGGUCAGGUAGAGAAUACCAAGGCGCUUGAGAGAACUCGGGUGAAGGAACUAGGCAAAAUGGUGCCGUAACUUCGGGAGAAGGCACGCUGAUAUGUAGGUGAAGUCCCUCGCGGAUGGAGCUGAAAUCAGUCGAAGAUACCAGCUGGCUGCAACUGUUUAUUAAAAACACAGCACUGUGCAAACACGAAAGUGGACGUAUACGGUGUGACGCCUGCCCGGUGCCGGAAGGUUAAUUGAUGGGGUCAGCGCAAGCGAAGCUCUUGAUCGAAGCCCCGGUAAACGGCGGCCGUAACUAUAACGGUCCUAAGGUAGCGAAAUUCCUUGUCGGGUAAGUUCCGACCUGCACGAAUGGCGUAAUGAUGGCCAGGCUGUCUCCACCCGAGACUCAGUGAAAUUGAACUCGCUGUGAAGAUGCAGUGUACCCGCGGCAAGACGGAAAGACCCCGUGAACCUUUACUAUAGCUUGACACUGAACAUUGAGCCUUGAUGUGUAGGAUAGGUGGGAGGCUUUGAAGUGUGGACGCCAGUCUGCAUGGAGCCGACCUUGAAAUACCACCCUUUAAUGUUUGAUGUUCUAACGUUGACCCGUAAUCCGGGUUGCGGACAGUGUCUGGUGGGUAGUUUGACUGGGGCGGUCUCCUCCUAAAGAGUAACGGAGGAGCACGAAGGUUGGCUAAUCCUGGUCGGACAUCAGGAGGUUAGUGCAAUGGCAUAAGCCAGCUUGACUGCGAGCGUGACGGCGCGAGCAGGUGCGAAAGCAGGUCAUAGUGAUCCGGUGGUUCUGAAUGGAAGGGCCAUCGCUCAACGGAUAAAAGGUACUCCGGGGAUAACAGGCUGAUACCGCCCAAGAGUUCAUAUCGACGGCGGUGUUUGGCACCUCGAUGUCGGCUCAUCACAUCCUGGGGCUGAAGUAGGUCCCAAGGGUAUGGCUGUUCGCCAUUUAAAGUGGUACGCGAGCUGGGUUUAGAACGUCGUGAGACAGUUCGGUCCCUAUCUGCCGUGGGCGCUGGAGAACUGAGGGGGGCUGCUCCUAGUACGAGAGGACCGGAGUGGACGCAUCACUGGUGUUCGGGUUGUCAUGCCAAUGGCACUGCCCGGUAGCUAAAUGCGGAAGAGAUAAGUGCUGAAAGCAUCUAAGCACGAAACUUGCCCCGAGAUGAGUUCUCCCUGACCCUUUAAGGGUCCUGAAGGAACGUUGAAGACGACGACGUUGAUAGGCCGGGUGUGUAAGCGCAGCGAUGCGUUGAGCUAACCGGUACUAAUGAACCGUGAGGCUUAACCUUACAACGCCGAAGCUGUU